UAGCUUGCUUUUGAAGAUCAGCGGCGGACGGGUGAGUAACACGUGGGCAACCUGCCUGUAAGACUGGGAUAACUUCGGGAAACCGGAGCUAAUACCGGAUAAUCCUUUUCCUCWCAUGAGGGAAAGCUGAAAGACGGUUUCGGCUGUCACUUACAGAUGGGCCCGCGGCGCAUUAGCUAGUUGGUGAGGUAACGGCUCACCAAGGCAACGAUGCGUAGCCGACCUGAGAGGGUGAUCGGCCACACUGGGACUGAGACACGGCCCAGACUCCUACGGGAGGCAGCAGUAGGGAAUCUUCCGCAAUGGACGAAAGUCUGACGGAGCAACGCCGCGUGAGCGAUGAAGGCCUUCGGGUCGUAAAGCUCUGUUGUCAGGGAAGAACAAGUAUCGGAGUAACUGCCGGUACCUUGACGGUACCUGACCAGAAAGCCACGGCUAACUACGUGCCAGCAGCCGCGGUAAUACGUAGGUGGCAAGCGUUGUCCGGAAUUAUUGGGCGUAAAGCGCGCGCAGGCGGUUCCUUAAGUCUGAUGUGAAAGCCCCCGGCUCAACCGGGGAGGGUCAUUGGAAACUGGGGAACUUGAGUGCAGAAGAGGAGAGCGGAAUUCCACGUGUAGCGGUGAAAUGCGUAGAGAUGUGGAGGAACACCAGUGGCGAAGGCGGCUCUCUGGUCUGUAACUGACGCUGAGGCGCGAAAGCGUGGGGAGCGAACAGGAUUAGAUACCCUGGUAGUCCACGCCCGUAAACGAUGAGUGCUAAGUGUUAGAGGGUUUUCCGCCCUUUAUUGCUGCAGCAAACGCAUUAAGCACUCCGCCUGGGGAGUACGGCCGCAGGGCUGAAACUCAAAGGAAUGACGGGGGCCCGCCCCAACCGGUGGAGCAUGUGGGUUUAUUUCGAAGCAACCCGAAAAACCUUUCCAGGYCUUGACAUCCUCUGACAACCCUA
rnacentral:rRNA from 1 species